UACGUAGGGUGCGAGCGUUGUCCGGAAUUAUUGGGCGUAAAGAGCUCGUAGGCGGUUUGUCGCGUCGACUGUGAAAACCUACAGCUUAACUGUGGGCUUGCAGUCGAUACGGGCAGACUUGAGUUCGGUAGGGGAGACUGGAAUUCCUGGUGUAGCGGUGAAAUGCGCAGAUAUCAGGAGGAACACCGGUGGCGAAGGCGGGUCUCUGGGCCUUACCUGACGCUGAGGAGCGAAAGCGUGGGGAGCGAACAGG
rnacentral:rRNA from 1 species